CUGCUCUGUUGCCGUGGCCAGUCGCACACUUGGCGGGGUCAUUUCUGGAACGCUUCAGGCCUUCUCGAGAGGAGCUCCCAGUAGAUAUCCCUGGAUUUAGGGGAGACACAUGUCUGGGCUAUAAUGAGGUAAAUAUAUCACAGUAGAUAUCCCUGGAUGUAGGGGCGACAGAUGUCUGGGCUAUAAUGAGGUAAAUAUAUCACAGUAGAUAUCCCUGGAUGUAGGGGCGACAGAUGUCUGGGCUAUAAUGAGGUAAAUAUAUCACAGUAGAUAUCCCUGGAUGUAGGGGCGACAGAUGUCUGGGCUAUAAUGAGGUAAAUAUAUCACAGUAGAUAUCCCUGGAUGUAGGGGCGACAGAUGUCUGGGCUAUAAUGAGGUAAAUAUAUCACAGUAGAUAUCCCUGGAUGUAGGGGCGACAGAUGUCUGGGCUAUAAUGAGGUAAAUAUAUCACAGUAGAUAUCCCUGGAUGUAGGGGCGACAGAUGUCUGGGCUAUAAUGAGGUAAAUAUAUCACAGUAGAUAUCCCUGGAUGUAGGGGCGACAGAUGUCUGGGCUAUAAUGAGGUAAAUAUAUUACAGUAGAUAUCCCUGGAUGUAGGGGCGACACAUGUCUGGGCUAUAAUGACGUAAAUAUAUCACAGUAGAUAUCCGUGGAUGUAGGGGUGACAGAUGUCUGGGUUAUAAUGACAUCGAUAUAUUACAACAAAAAGGAAGGUAUUUGGACAUAAAUCAUGGACAUCGAACAAAACAAACAUUUAUUGUAGAACUGGGACUCCUGGGAGUGCAUUCUGAUGAAGAUCCAAGGUAAGUGAAUAUUUAUAAUGUUAUUUCUGACUUCUGUUGACCCAACAACAUGGCGGGUACCUGUAUGGCUUGUUUUUGUGUCUGAGUGCCGUACUCAGAUUAUUGCAUGGUGUGCUUUUUCAGUAAAGUUUUUUUUUAUUUUUUAUAAAUCUGACACAUAAGAAUAAGAAGGACUUGUAAGUAAGCAUUUUACGGUAAGGUUUCCGCAUGUGACAAAUAAAGUUUGAUUUUAUAUAUUACAGUAGAUAGGGGUAACAAAUUACGUCUGGGUUAUGACGAUGUAGCACAGGGCAGAUAUAUUACAGUGCCAACAGACUAGCACUCCAGGAAUACGCUUCAUCUGGGUCUGGGAAACUGUGUCAACCACUAGCCCAGAUUAGCAUCUAGACAAAG